rnacentral:rRNA from 1 species
AACGAACGCUGGCGGCAGGCUUAACACAUGCAAGUCGAACGCCCCGCAAGGGGAGUGGCAGACGGGUGAGUAACGCGUGGGAAUCUACCUAGUUCUACGGAACAACUGAGGGAAACUUCAGCUAAUACCGUAUACGCCCUACGGGGGAAAGAUUUAUCGGAAUUAGAUGAGCCCGCGUAAGAUUAGCUAGUUGGUGAGGUAAUGGCUCACCAAGGCGACGAUCUUUAGCUGGUCUGAGAGGAUGAUCAGCCACACUGGGACUGAGACACGGCCCAGACUCCUACGGGAGGCAGCAGUGGGGAAUAUUGGACAAUGGGCGCAAGCCUGAUCCAGCCAUGCCGCGUGAGUGAUGAAGGCCUUAGGGUUGUAAAGCUCUUUCAGUGGGGAAGAUAAUGACGGUACCCACAGAAGAAGCCCCGGCUAACUUCGUGCCAGCCGCCGCCGUAACAC